UUAAAUGAGGACCUGUAUGAAUGGCAUCACGAGGGCUUAGCUGUCUCCUUUUCCAAGUCAAUGAAAUUGAUCUACCCGUGCAGAAGCGGGUAUACCCCUACAAGACGAGAAGACCCUGUGGAGCUUAAGAUAUAAGGUCAACCACGUCAAACAACCAAACUCAAAGGUAUAAACAAAGUGUGAACAUGACCAACAUGUCUUCGGUUGGGGCGACCGCGGGGGAGAAACAAGCCCCCACGUGGACCGGGAUUAUUCCUAAAGCCAAGAGGUACACCUCUAAGCCUCAGAACAUCUGACCAUAAAUGAUCCGGCAAAAGCCGAUCAACGAACCAAGUUACCCCAGGGAUAACAGCGCAAUCCUCUCCCAGAGUCCAUAUCGAC
rnacentral:rRNA from 1 species